rnacentral:sRNA from 1 species
UAGUGAAGGAUCUAUGUUUUUCUAUCAGCAAAUAAAAAAACAUUCGAUUAGAAGGUACAAGUGGUACCAUUGAACAGAAAGAAGAGUUGAAAAAACAUCAUCUACCCUUUAUACCUAAGGACUAUGAUCAUACAGAGGCUAUACGGGAACAACAGGACAUGAACUGCUAGCAAUUACCUGCGAAAUAUAUUCUCUGUAUAUUCAUGAUGUAUGGCUUGAAACAUGUCC